GCUUACGCCCAUACCACCCUGAUCAUCUGAUCUCAGAAGCUAAGCUGGGUCGGGCCUGGUCAGUACUUGGAUGGGAGACCGCCUGGGAAUACCAGGUGCUGCAAGCU
rnacentral:rRNA from 1 species